rnacentral:rRNA from 1 species
UGAAUGGCAAAACGAAAGCUCAACUGUCUCCUUAGAUUAAUCAAUGAAAUUGAUCUUUCCGUGCAGAAGCGGAAAUAUUUUUAUAAGACAAAAAGACCCUAUGGAGCUUCAAAUUUAAAUUACUUAUACUCCCUUAAAAAUAUAAUAAAUAAUUUAACAUAAAAUUUUAGGUUGGGGCGACCGCGGAGUAAACUACAACCUCCAAGAUUAAUUAAGAAAGACAUUUCAAAAUGAUAAAAUAACUAACAUACUUGAUCCAAUAUUUGAUCAACGAACCAAGUUACCCUAGGGAUAACAGCGCAAUCCCCUUAAAGAGUUCAUAUCGACAAGGGGGUUUACGACCUCGAUGUUGGAUCAGGGCCCCCAAAUGGUGCAGCAACUAUUAAAGGUUCGUUUGUUCAACGAUUAAAGCCCUACG